rnacentral:tRNA from 1 species
ACCAGACCAUUCCGAACCAAAAACCUAGCCCAAAUAACAUGAAUUUUAUUAAACUAAUUCCCCAUUUUUAAUAA